GGACUGCAAGGAGUGUGGCGAAAUUUCGUCUUUUGACUUCGAUUUAAAUAAUAUAAUUAUGGUUUUAUGAACUGAUAACUUCAUUAGCGAUACGGUUGUUUAGAAAAAAAAACGGAAUUAGCUACGAAGUAUUGGACGUCAAUUUCCGUCAUCUUGGCUUCGCUGUUCUCAUAUGGUAUACGCCGAAUGACUGAAAUUCUAUAUAUAUAUAUAUAUAUAUAUAUAUAUAUAUAUAUAUAUAGAGCUCACUGGUUCUGAAUUUAGUCUUCACCUGCUGCUCCAUAACAUUUACCAACUAAAACAUGAAAAGUUUUGUCCAAGACUUUGUUACGAUCUCCUUUUGAAACGUUACCUUUCUUCAUAGUGCAAUUUUUUUUAAUAUUUUCCUUAUACUCUUUAGAUUAAUUCUCCUAACGUAAA